rnacentral:lncRNA from 1 species
ACUGCAAAUACUAGUUUAGCACAUUAUUGCCGAGACAACGGCCUACUUCUUCACAUCCACCGUGCAAUGCAUGCAGUUAUUGAUAGACAGAAAAAUCAUGGUAUGCAUUUCCGUGUACUAGCUAAAGCAUUACGUAUGUCUGGUGGGGAUCAUAUUCACGCUGGUACAGUAGUAGGUAAACUGGAAGGUGAACGUGAGAUGACUUUAGGUUUUGUUGAUUUAUUACGUGAUGAUUAUAUUGAAAAAGACCGAAGUCGUGGUAUUUUCUUCACUCAAGAUUGGGUCUCUAUGCCAGGUGUUAUACCUGUGGCUUCAGGGGGUAUUCAUGUUUGGCAUAUGCCUGCCCUGACCGAGAUCUUUGGAGAUGAUUCCGUACUACAGUUUGGUGGCGGAACUUUAGGACACCCUUGGGGAAAUGCACCUGGUGCAGUAGCUAACCGUGUAGCUUUAGAAGCGUGUGUACAAGCUCGUAAUGAGGGACGUGAUCUUGCUCGUGAAGGUAAUGAAAUUAUCCGUGAAGCUUGCAAAUGGAGUCCUGAACUAGCCGCUGCUUGUGAAGUUUGGAAAGCGAUCAAAUUUGAGUUCGAAC